rnacentral:rRNA from 1 species
UGGGGAAUAUUGGACAGUGGGCGCAAGCCUGAUCCAGCCAUGCCGCGUGUGUGAAGAAGGCCUUUUGGUUGUAAAGCACUUUAAGCGAGGAGGAGGCUACUUGGAUUAAUACUCUAGGAUAGUGGACGUUACUCGCAGAAUAAGCACCGGCUAACUCUGUGCCAGCAGCCGCGGUAAUACAGAGGGUGCGAGCGUUAAUCGGAUUUACUGGGCGUAAAGCGUGCGUAGGCGGCUUUUUAAGUCGGAUGUGAAAUCCCUGAGCUUAACUUAGGAAUUGCAUUCGAUACUGGGAAGCUAGAGUAUGGGAGAGGAUGGUAGAAUUCCAGGUGUAGCGGUGAAAUGCGUAGAGAUCUGGAGGAAUACCGAUGGCGAAGGCAGCCAUCUGGCCUAAUACUGACGCUGAGGUACGAAAGCAUGGGGAGCAAACAGG